rnacentral:rRNA from 1 species
AUUGAACGCUGGCGGCAGGCCUAACACAUGCAAGUCGAACGAGCGGCGGACGGGUGAGUAAUGUCUGGGAAACUGCCUGAUGGAGGGGGAUAACUACUGGAAACGGUAGCUAAUACCGCAUACCAUCGGAUGUGCCCAGAUGGGAUUAGCUAGUAGGUGGGGUAAAGGCUCACCUAGGCGACGGUCCCUAGCUGGUCUGAGAGGAUGACCAGCCAAACUGGAACUGAGACACGGGCCAGGAUCCUACGGGAGGCAGCAGGGGGGAAUAUUGCACAAUGGGCACAAGCCUGGUGCAGCCAUGCCGCGUGUAUGAAGAAGGCCUUCGGGUUGUAAAGUACUUUCAGCGGGGCGGCGUUACCCGCAGAAGAAGCACCGGCUAACUCAGUGCCAGCAGCCGCGGUAAUAC